rnacentral:rRNA from 1 species
GAUGAACGCUGGCGGCGUGCCUAAUACAUGCAAGUCGAGCGAACGGACGAGAAGCUUGCUUCUCUGAUGUUAGCGGCGGACGGGUGAGUAACACGUGGAUAACCUACCUAUAAGACUGGGAUAACUUCGGGAAACCGGAGCUAAUACCGGAUAAUAUUUUGAACCGCAUGGUUCAAAAGUGAAAGACGGUCUUGCUGUCACUUAUAGAUGGAUCCGCGCUGCAUUAGCUAGUUGGUAAGGUAACGGCUUACCAAGGCAACGAUGCAUAGCCGACCUGAGAGAGUGAUCGGCCACAUGGGAGCUGGGACACGGUCCAGGCUCCUACGGGAGGCAGCAGUAGGGAAUCUUCCGCAAUGGGCGAAAGCCUGACGGAGCAACGGCGCGUGAGUGAUGAAGGUGUUCGGAUCGUAAAACUCUGUUAUUGGGGAAGAACAUAUGUGUAAGUAACUGUGCACAUCUUGACGGUACCUAAUCAGAAAGCCACGGCUAACUACGUG